rnacentral:lncRNA from 1 species
CAGCAUCUUUGUGAUGCAGCCCUGGAACCUCAGCCGCUAAAUUCUUCCAUUUCCAGAAUUCUCACAAGCGUCACGGAUUUAGGUUUUCAGGACACCAUAAAUCACGCUAAAUAGCCUGAGCUUGUGGGAAUCCUGCUUCUUUAGUUCGGAGUCUGACAAGGAAACUCAUGAGAUCAGAUGCUAUUCCAGGAGAUUUGGAGACAAGUGCUGAAACUGCUCCAUCCCAGUCCAGCCCCAGUGCCUUUGACUGUGUCCUUCUGCUGACUGAGGAUGGUGCUGAAGACUUUAAUACUGAACUCUUGCUUUUUAAUGAACAGUCAGCCCCAAAUUACCUGGUAUCUUCUCUUCAAUAUAUCCCGUUCUACAGGACGUCUGAAGUCUUCAUCAGCCCUCACUCCCUCAUUGCAUCGCACAUCAGCACAGAUGCAGAAGAAAGCUCUGAUGGUCACCAAGUUAACACUAAGCAAGAUGAGAACUUGGAUGUCUCAGCUCUCUCCACAGGAUAUUUUCCAUAUUACAGGUCAUAUGAAGAGCCCCUUGGCAAGCCACUUGCAUAUAACUUAAAUGUGACUGCAGAGGGAAAACAGCCUGGCACCAGCAGGAAAGACAGACGGCAAGGCGGAUGUGCCYGGGCUGUUUGCAACGUUGAGAAAACCAUUCCACCAAGUUKGGAGCCAGACAAAAGGGCAGUUUCCUCCAGCGCUGAGCCACCUGCCCACCCGCUGUUACUGGAGAGCAUCUCCGAAAACUGCGCUUCGAAGACCCCAUUCCUCAGUGAACUGCCAAGCCUGGGUCAGCMCUUCUCUUCCUCUGGGUACUUUCCUUAUUACAGGACACGUGGAGACCUCUGCAUCAGCCCAGCUCCUUGUGAUAGGUUCUUCACCAGGAUAGAAAUUUUGGGGGAUGAAGAAGGAGGAGGAGAAGGAGAAACAAAUGUUUGGAAUUUGAGUGCCAGCUGCUCAGCGUGCUGA